AUUGAACGCUGGCGGCAUGCUUUACACAUGCAAGUCGAACGGUAACAGGUUAAGCUGACGAGUGGCGAACGGGUGAGUAAUGCAUCGGAACGUGCCCGAUCGUGGGGGAUAACGCAGCGAAAGCUGCGCUAAUACCGCAUACGAUCUGAGGAUGAAAACGGGGGACCGUAAGGCCUCGCGCGAACGGAUCGGCCGAUGUCAGAUUAGGUAGUUGGUGGGGUAAGGCUCACCAAGCCGACGAUCUGUAGCUGGUCUGAGAGGACGACCAGCCACACUGGGACUGAGACACGGCCCAGACUCCUACGGGAGGCAGCAGUGGGGAAUUUUGGACAAUGGGCGCAAGCCUGAUCCAGCAAUGCCGCGUGCAGGAUGAAGGCCUUCGGGUUGUAAACUGCUUUUGUACGGAACGAAACGGCGAGCUCUAAUACAGUUUGCUAAUGACGGUACCGUAAGAAUAAGCACCGGCUAACUACGUGCCAGCCGCCGCUGUAACAC
rnacentral:rRNA from 1 species